rnacentral:tRNA from 2 species
GGGCCCUUAGCUCAGUUGGUAGAGCGUCGGACUUUUAAUCCGCUGGUCGUCGGUUCGAGCCCGACAGGGCCUACCA